rnacentral:tRNA from 1 species
GAGGGUAUAGCUCAAGUGGUAGAGCACAUGCUUAGCAUACACAAGGUCCUGGGUUCAAUCUCCAGUACCUCCU